CCUACGGGAGGCAGCAGUAGGGAAUAUUGCUCAAUGGGGGAAACCCUGAAGCAGCAACGCCGCGUGGAGGAUGAAGGUUUUCGGAUUGUAAACUCUUUUUGUUAGAGAAGAUAAUGACGGUAUCUAACGAAUAAGCACCGGCUAACUCCGGGCCAGCAGCCGCGGUAAUACGGAGGGUGCAAGCGUUACUCGGAAUCACUGGGCGUAAAGGGCGCGUAGGCGGGAUAGCAAGUCAGAUGUGAAAUCCUAUGGCUUAACCAUAGAACUGCAUUUGAAACUGUUAUUCUAGAGUAUGGGAGAGGUAGGUGGAAUUCUUGGUGUAGGGGUAAAAUCCGUAGAGAUCAAGAGGAAUACUCAUUGCGAAGGCGACCUGCUAGAACGUAACUGACGCUGAUGCGCGAAAGCGUGGGGAGCAAACAGGAUUAGAUACCCUUGUAGUC
rnacentral:rRNA from 1 species